CCUACGGGCGGCAGCAGUGAGGAAUAUUGGUCAAUGGACGAGAGUCUGAACCAGCCAAGUAGCGUGAAGGAUGAAUGCCCUAUGGGUUGUAAACUUCUUUUAUCAAGGAAUAAAAUGAGGCACGUGUGCCUCUUUGCAUGUACUUUAUGAAUAAGGAUCGGCUAACUCCGUGCCAGCAGCCGCGGUAAUACGGAGGAUCCGAGCGUUAUCCGGAUUUAUUGGGUUUAAAGGGAGCGUAGGUGGAUUGUUAAGUCAGUUGUGAAAGUUUGCGGCUCAACCGUAAAAUUGCAGUUGAAACUGGCAGGCUUGAGUACAUUAGAGGUAGGCGGAAUGCGUGGUGUAGCGGUGAAAUGCUUAGAUAUCACGAAGAACUCCGAUUGCGAAGGCAGUUCACUGAACUGCAACUGACACUGAGGCUCGAAAGUGUGGGUAUCAAACAGGAUUAGAUACCCGGGUAGUC
rnacentral:rRNA from 1 species